GAUGAACGCUGGCGGCGUGCCUAAUACAUGCAAGUCGAGCGAACAGACGAGGAGCUUGCUCCUCUGACGUUAGCGGCGGACGGGUGAGUAACACGUGGAUAACCUACCUAUAAGACUGGGAUAACUUCGGGAAACCGGAGCUAAUACCGGAUAAUAUAUUGAACCGCAUGGUUCAAUAGUGAAAGACGGUUUUGCUGUCACUUAUAGAUGGAUCCGCGCCGCAUUAGCUAGUUGGUAAGGUAACGGCUUACCAAGGCAACGAUGCGUAGCCGACCUGAGAGGGGGAUCGGCCACACUGGAACUGAGACCCGGUCCAGCCUCCUACGGGAGGCAGCAGUAGGGAAUCUUCCGCAAUGGGCGAAAGCUUGACGGAGCAACGCCGCGUGAGUGAUGAAGGUCUUCGGAUCGUAAAACGCUGUUAUUAGGGAAGAACAAAUGUGUAAGUAACUAUGCACGUCUUGACGGUACCUAAUCAGAAAGCCACGGCUAACUACGU
rnacentral:rRNA from 1 species